rnacentral:rRNA from 1 species
CGGGGUGAGUAACGCGUGGGGAACCUGCCUCAUACAGGGGAAUAACAGUUAGAAAUGACUGCUAAUGCCGCAUAAGCGCACAGUGUCGCAUGACACAGUGUGAAAAACUCCGGUGGUAUGAGAUGGCCCCGCGUCUGAUUAGGCAGUUGGCGGGGUAACGGCCCACCAAACCGACGAUCAGUAGCCGACCUGAGAGGGUGACCGGCCACAUUGGGACUGAGACACGGCCCAAACUCCUACGGGAGGCAGCAG